GCCUAAAGAGAAGCUUGCGGCUGAUUAGCUUGUUGGUGAGGUAAUAGCUCACCAAGGCGACGAUCAGUAUCUGGUUUGAGAGGACGAUCAGACACACUGGAACUGAGACACGGUCCGGACUCCUACGGGAGGCAGCAGUAGGGAAUUUUCCGCAAUGGGCGAAAGCCUGACGGAGCAAUACCGCGUGAGGGAUGACGGCCUAUGGGUUGUAAACCUCUUUUUUCAGGGAGGAAUAAAUGACGUGUACCUGAAGAAUAAGCAUCGGCUAACUCCGUGCCAGCAGCCGCGGUAAGACGGAGGAUGCAAGUGUUAUCCGGAAUCACUGGGCGUAAAGCGUCUGUAGGUGGUCCAAUAAGUCAACUGUUAAAUCUUGAGGCUCAACCUCAAAACCGCAGUCGAAACUAUUAGACUAGAGUAUAGUAGGGGUAAAGGGAAUUUCCAGUGGAGCGGUGAAAUGCGUAGAUAUUG
rnacentral:rRNA from 1 species